rnacentral:rRNA from 1 species
UAAGGAAUAUUGGUCAAUGGACGCAAGUCUGAACCAGCCAUGCCGCGUGAAGGAUUAAGGCCCUCUGGGUUGUAAACUUCUUUUAUAGGGGAAGAAAUGUGACGGUUCUCCGUCACUUGACGGUACCCUGGGAAUAAGCACCGGCUAACUCCGUGCCAGCAGCCGCGGUAAUACGGAGGGUGCAAGCGUUAUCCGGAUUCACUGGGUUUAAAGGGUGCGUAGGUGGGCUUAUAAGUCAGUGGUGAAAUCUCCGAGCUUAACUUGGAAAAUGCCGUUGAUACUAUAGGUCGUGAAUUAUCUGGAGGUAAGCGGAAUAUGUCAUGUAGCGGUGAAAUGCUUAGAUAGGACAUAGAACACCAAUUGCGAAGGCAGCUUACUACAUAUAAAUUGACGCUGAGGCACGAAAGCGUGGGGAUCAAACA